rnacentral:miRNA from 1 species
CCAGCUGGGAAGAACCAGUGGC